CUCUUGCUACUGCAUCAAACAUUGAAUUGGAGCUGCAGAUAACUCCGUGGAAUCUAAGUGGCAAUUUUGUUGCAUGUACAACCCAGAAAUCCAAAGGUGAGGAGACUGGCGAGCACACUCUACCAAUGCUCAUGGUAGAGAAAGAAGAACUAGAAUCACCCCUCCACAAUGAGAAAUUGUUGUCUGUCCAGUUAAAGAAAAAACUAGCAUAUGUAGCAGAGGCUUAAAACACAGACCUGCACAAGGAGCUCCAAUCCGUACGCCCUCAACUUGUCUUUGAGCAGUGAAGAUGUUUGGUAUACUUGAAACAAGAGAACAAUGGUAUGUUGGAGAUUCUGAUGGCAACAUCAAGGGUUUUAAGAUUGAACAAGAAGUACGUCAUGUUAUACCAAUGAAAUACACUAUACCU